ensembl:lncRNA
UAACCCACCCAGCACCAGACGUCAUUUGGACGUUGUUUUCUGGUCUAAAUAAAGUCGGCCCGUCAUGGCUUUCUUUUAGACCAAAAAACGACGUUGAAAAAUGGUCUUUGUUUGGUCCGAGAGAUUUGGUCCAAAUUAAGCCCAAAAAGCGACGUUUAACGUCUUUUUUUUUUUAAUCCAAAUUUAGCCCAAAAAUAGAUGUAGAUGGGCUUUUGUCCAAAUUUAGCAGAAAAACACGUUUAUUUCGGACCACAGCCAUUAACAAAUAUAGCUAGUGAAGAAAUAGAUUAUACAUCAUAUCUGAAGCACUGUUAAAUAUAUUGAAAUAUAUUUUGAAAACACUGGAUGGGCGCGCGCUGAACUGGAGCGGAGGACGUCACCAUGGAAACGGGGCGGCAGCUCAACUGUCAAGCAGCUGAACGCUGUCUCUCAUGGUUGUUUUUACUAAUUUCAGAAAUGGUUUAUUGUCUUCAGAAAAAGUCCGUUAGCAUCUCAACCUUAAUGCUAACUACAAGAGAUUCUUCCAUGCUGAUGUCCAUACCCUAGAGUUGGAGCGUGUAUCUUGUCGAAGAUCAUUUUUAGACAUUAUGAGACAUAUGACUUGGGGGCAAAAUACAUUGAGUCAAAGUUUAGCUCCAACCCCAAUUAAGCAGACCUGAGCAGCUGAUCAAAGAUCACCAGAAACUCUGCAGAACGGUGGUCCUGCAUGCCCAGGACUGGACACCAGUGUUAUGCUGGAGAAAAAACAGCGAAAAAACAUCUGCCAUGGCUCAUUAAUCCAGAAUUGGGAUGGUGGAAGGAGCAGAAGAACCAGAAGAUCAGAGAUCAGGCAGAGAUCUACUGGUGCCCCUGUGGGAACCAAUUUACCUAAUGAGUUAGUUAAACCAAAGAUUUUCAUCACUCACCUUCAUGUUGUUCCAAGUCAGACUUUUGUUCAUCUUUGAAACAUAAAUGCAGAACUUUUUAAUGAAAUCUGAGAAAUUAAUUUUUUUAUUUAUAAAAUAACACAUUCACGAGAGCACCAUGAUGCAUUAGUGUUGAGUUGGCGUGAGAGCUGGCAAUCUCAUGGUACUUUUGUGAAAAUCUGUUGGGGAUACAUCAUUUCUGAAUACAUUUUUGCUGUUGUUGUUUUUUUGUACACAAGGCAUCUGUUAAAAAACCUUAAUUUGUGUUCUGCACAAAAGGGUCUUAUGGGUUUGGAGCAACAUGAGGGUAAGUAAUUAAUGACAGAAUUUACAUUUUUGGUUGUUCUAAUGUGGUUAUUAUUGGUCAUUAUUUCCAUUUUCAAUAUUUUAAAGAUUUAUUGUCUUGAAAAAUUAUGUUUAUACAGAAAGAUUGAUUCAUUGGAUAAGUUACAGUAAAGACUUUUAAAUUGAUAAAAAAUUAAAAUAAAUACUGCUCUUUUGCAAGCUCUAUUAAAAAAUACUGAUAAAUUUAAUGGUUUCAACAAAAUAUUAAGCAGCACAACUGUUUUCAACAUUGAUAAUAAUCAGAAAUGUUUCUUGAGCAGCAAAUCAUCAUAUUAGAAUGAUUUUUGAAGAUCAUGUGACACUGAAGACUGGAGUAAUGAUGCUGAAAAUUCAGUUUACAUGGAUAAAUUACAUUUUACAAUGCAUCCGCAUAGAAAAACAAUUAUUUCUGUAGUUAUAUUUCACAAUAUUACUGUUUUUACGGUCUGUUUAAUCAAAU